AUAGCCUGUUGCCAGGGGAACCCUGCCAACUGAGCCCAUUGACUAUGCUGGGGGAUUAAGGUGCCUUCAAAACCACAUUUCUUGAGCACAUAGCAAUCCGACAGCAGUGAGGAGUCGGCAUGGAAACCAGCUGGAUGGCAGAGGACCUCUGAUCCCCCAGUUUGCUGCUUAGAAUGGUCUCUCCACCCUUCCUCUCUACUUACGUGAAUCCUACCCAUCCCUUGGCCCAGCUCAAAUCUCACCUCCUCCAGAAAGCUUUCCUUGACUGCACUAAACAAGGAGUUCGUACCACACUAUCAGCAAUUACAUCAAACUGCCUCAAAUGUAAGGACCAGGUAGCAAAUGAGUGAGUCUUUCUUUAGUUGGGAGAAGCAUCCAUGGAA